rnacentral:rRNA from 1 species
ACUCCUACGGGAGGCAGCAGUGGGGAAUUUUGCGCAAUGGGGGAAACCCUGACGCAGCAACGCCGCGUGAGUGAUGAAGGCCCUUGGGACGUAAAGCUCUGACAGAGGGAAAGAAAUGUGGGUGGCUAAUAUCCAUACCACUUGACGGUACCCUCAAAGGAAGCACCGGCUAACUCCGUGCCAGCAGCCGCGGUAAUACGGAGGGUGCGAGCGUUGUUCGGAUUUAUUGGGCGUAAAGCGCGUGUAGGCGGUUUUAUAAGUCUGAUGUGAAAGCCCCGGGCUCAACCUGGGAAGUGCAUUGGAUACUGUAAGACUUGAAUACGGGAGAGGGCAGUGGAAUUCCUAGUGUAGGAGUGAAAUCCGUAGAUAUUAGGAGGAACACCGGUGGCGAAGGCGGCUGCCUGGACCGAUAUUGACGCUGAGACGCGAAAGCGUGGGUAGCAAACAGGAUUAGAUACCCUGGUAGUCCACGCUGUAAACGAUGAGAACUAGGUGUCGCGGGUA